rnacentral:pre_miRNA from 1 species
CAACUACUCCCUCCGUUUGGAAUUAUUUGUCGCAGAAAUGGAUGUAUCUAAACGUAUUUUAGUUCUAGAUACAUCCAUUUUCGCGACAAGUAAUUCCGAACGGAGGGAGUACCUG